GGCGCUUCCCGCCCCACCCGGCCUCUAGAACAACGGGUUCCCGCUGCUGCCCCCUGCCGCCCGCCGCGGCUUCGACGGAGGCGUCGGGGGGCGCCGCUGCCGUGGGAACCAGACCCGGCACGCACGCUCUAAACCUGCCCGGGGUCCCUGUCAGAAAACUUGCAGCUACUUUCGAGAAGCCGGUUGCGGCCACUUGGGCCCCACAUGCCACUUAGCCUGGCGACCUCUCUUGUACUUUAAAACAACGGGGAACGGGCUGGGACGAAGCGUUGCGCGGCUCUCACUCCGGAAACCAAACCUUAUUUAAUUCGCCGCCUGAUGAAGUCCUCAUCCCGGGUGUCACUAACUGGCCCUUUUUGGGGCUGAACAGUCGCACCCUUCCCAUGCCUCAGUAACUCCAAGAAUUGUCUAAACCUUCACCCUCGUUCCGUUUUCUAGUCGAUCUUGUCCUAAAAUGCAACCCCAUACAGUAGGUACAAGAGGUGGCCACUGUUGCUGCCACCAUUCUACAGAACACCCAGCCGGAGAACAACAGAUCUAGGAUUUGAAUACAGACUGUUUCCAGCUGCUUCCUGUCACCCAAGCUGAUCCUCAUUUAACUGCCCAUGGAAAGAACAGUGACUCCCAAUUCUCCACUUUUCCACGGAGGAUGUCAUCUAUAAUGUGAGCAGCUCCUUGGUUAGGCCAGGCGUUUUUCCUAUGGAACUUCAAGAAAGUGAAAUUUGAGACCUGCUUAGAGGAAGCAUUCCCAAAUCAGAUUACUGUCUUGGAAACCAGCCUCCGACUGUCAGCAUAUGCAUUAUGAGCGCUAACCAGGAGAGACAGCGUUCCGACAGCGGGACACUGGUGCUUUGGAACAUGCCUACCACCUGUUAGAAGAAGCAAGCCGCUGGGAGGACAUCUUGGUACUCUUAGGCUAGUGCAGGUAGAGGUCAGAAGUGAAAGUGGGAAGAGAGGAGGUGGAAGACAAGAGAAAAAUGAGUGUAGUGUGUGUGCACUUCGGAUCUGUAAUCCACUGCAAAGAAUGAAGAUCAGGGUCAUGCAGAAGAGAGAGUGUGGGCGUGUUGUGACAGAGCCACAAAGGGAACAUAAACAUGAAAACUGAGCACAGGGCAGGGAAGGUGUUGGGGAGUCAGAAUGGCUUUUCUCUCCAAGUGGAGCUUCGGAACAGGAAUAAUUUUAGGUUGGAUUAAUGGAAAUACAGCCUCUGGAACAGCGGGAAAAAGCCACUCUCAGCUCUGUUACACCAUUCCUAAGUAACACAUUUUCCUCUAAGUGAUAGAAUAAUGAAAACAACCGAAGCAAAGAGAAGGCUGAAUCUUGCCUGACCAAGAAAGCUGGAUUCAUGAGUGAUGGAAAGCAAUUAGCAAUUAGUAUGGUGUGGUCAUGUGAGCCUGUAAUCCUAGCACUAUGGAGGCAGAGGUUGGAGGAUCACUACAGGUUUGAGGCCAGCCUGAUCUACAUAACAAGUUUCAGGCAAAGACCCUGUUUAAAAAAUUAAACAAAGGAAUCUAACUUGUUCGGGGCCAAAGCAAGGCUCUAGACAGAUGGAAUGGAACUUUCGGCACAUAUUUUAGAAUAAGGAAGAGGUCCUGUAAAUAUAAUCUAGGCCACCUUAGAAUGGAACAAAGUCUGUAUGACUAGCAGCACUGGAAAUGUAUAUUAUCGGGGGCCUGUGUGACACUAUGCCUGUCCCAACAUGUGCCAUUUUCCGGGAUACUAUAGGAAGUGGGAGAACAAUAUAACCUGUUUCAUGAGGCUGCUGAAAAGCAUAGGAUUAGCACUGUUUUGUUUUUCCAGAAACAGUUUCUCUGUGUGGUCCUGUCUGUCCUGAAACUCUGUAGACCAGGCUGGCCUCGAACUCACAGAGAUCCUCCUGCCUCUGCCUCCCGAGUACUGGGAUUAAAGGCAUGCACCAUCACCACCCAGCAAUUAGCUUUGUUUUAAAGUCUACAGGUAAAACAUUCUUGAAAUUCUAGGACUCCAUUUGUUCAUCUUGUUGCUUUUGGGUUGCUGAAGACAAAGGCAGCACCUCGCACAUGCUAGGCAAGCACUCUGUGUGGGAGCUGCAUCUCCAGUUCUUGGCAUUUUGAAAGAGAGUCUAACCUGGGCAGUGGUGUAUGCUUUCAUCCCAGUUCUUGGGGGAGGCAGAUCUUUAAUCCCAGCUGAGAGGCAGCUGGAUCUCUGUGAGUUUGAGACCAACCUGAUCUACAAAGUGAGUUCCAGGACUGCUAAGGGUGUUACACAGAGAAACCCUGUCUCAAAGAAACAGAAAAGGGGGGGAAAAAAAAAAGGAGUGUCUCACUACAUACAAUGCUACCAUAACAACCUCUAAGGUUCAGUAUUUGUGAAUUUAUCAGAGCAAUUUUUUUUUUCUUCAAGACAGGGUUUCUUUGUGUAGCCCUGACUGUCCUGACACUCACUCUGUAGACCAAGCUGACCUCCAACUCAGAAAUCUGCUUGCCUCUGAUUCCUUAGUGGUGGGAUUAAAAGCAUGUGCCACCACUGCCCAACUGAGAGCCAUUAUUUGAUCUUGUGCUUAUAGAUUGAUUGAUUUAUUAUAUUUUGAGGCCGGGUCUUCCUGUGUAGUCCCUGCUGACUUGGAACUUGAGAUCAUCCUGAGACCUCUGCUAGGCAAGCAGUCUACCAUUUGUGUGUGUAUUUUACUUCUGGGAAAAAGCAAACAAAAUCAGGCAUGGAUGCAUUGGAGAAAUAGCUCAGUAGUUAACAGUACUGGCAGAAAACAUGGGUUCAUAUCUUAGCACACACACUAGCUUAAAACCACCUGUAGCGCUGCUGGGGAUGGUGGUGCAGGCCCUUAGUCCCAGCAGAGGCAGGCAGAUCUCUGUGAGUUCAAAGCCAGCCUGGUCUAGAGAGUGAGUUCCAGGACAGCCAGGGUUGUUAUACAGAGAAACCCUGUAUCGAAGGGAAAAAAAAAACUAAGAAAUAGUGACUGCCAUAUACCUCCCUCCCCCAUUUUAGAUGUUCACUAGAGGACCUUAGCUUAAACUUGAUUUGUCCUAUAGAAAGAAACCGGCUUUAACAGGACUGUUGAGUGUCCUUGUUGCCAACACAAGGUAAAAAUCAUUUCACUUCUCUCUUCUUCCAUUCUGUUUUUCUCUUCAUGCUUUAAUCAUUUUGACACCAGGCUGUACAAAAGUAAUUUAAAAUUAAAAUGUCUGACACUUGGA